AAAGCCUGGGGCACCAAGAUGGAGGCACAGACCCAAGUCUUCCUAUUCCUGCUCUUUUGGAUGUCUGGUGCUGAGGGGAACAUUGUGAUGACUCAGUCUCCUGAAUUCAUGUCCACAUCUGUAGGAGACAGGAUCACCCUAAGCUGUAAAUCCAGUCAGAAUGUGUAUAAGUAUGUAGCUUGGUACCAACAGAAACCAGGGCAGCCUCCGAAACCACUAAUCUAUUAUGCAUCCAAUCGCCCCUCUGGGGUCCCUGAUCGCUUCACAGGCAGUGGAUCUGGGACAGAUUACACUCUCACCAUCAGCAGUGUGCAGGCUGAAGACCUGGCAGUUUAUUACUGUCAGCAGGGUAGCAGCUCUCCUCCCACACAUCACUGUGAUAAUGGUCAUGACCAAAAUCAAUGUGGGAAGAAAGGGGCUUAUUUGGCACAUAUGACUCGAUUAGUCAAGCAUGAGGAAAAGUCAAGGCCUGGACUCAUGGUAGUAACAUGGAGUCAGGAGCUGAAGCAGAGCAUGGGGAAUGUUGCUUAUGGUUUUGCUUUCCACGGGUUGCAAGGACAAAGAAUUAAAAGAAUUAAAUCUGUCCUGCAGAGCAUGUUUAAACUCCAAUGUAAGGUGGUUGACUUCUCCAAUAAAGCCAUUUCACUACUGUGCCAGUGUGUACAUAUUGCCUGCAUGUCAAUGGUCGAUGGAUAUCACUUGAAUUUGGUUUAA